rnacentral:lncRNA from 1 species
CCGGCCUUGGAGAAGAAGGGGGCCUGGCCCCAGGUGCUGAGGGAUGGGAAAGGAGUGACCUUUCAAUGUAGGAAACUUGGAGGCAAUGAGGAAGGCACCCUAUUCCCUCAAACCACUCGAACGUUUCCUCUCGUGAGGAGGAGAGCCUUGACCCAGUGCUGCGACCUCCCCCCGGGUCAGGAAGCUCUGCCUGCACAGCAUUUCCUGCGUGUGGGAAAGAAACAGGAUGAGCAGAUAAAUCCCCCGAGGCUUAUUUUCAAGUGUGUGAGGCCUUCUGUUUGGUGAGUCUGCAGCAGCCCUGGCCAAGAUGACCAACGGUGACGUGUGUUUCUAAAAGUAAUCAAAAAGGAUGACCGUGCACCCAUGAAGCACAAGGCUGGAUGUGGUAGAGGAGAAGAGCACGGGUCAUUGUCCCUGCUCUUUAGGACUGCGUUGGUUUGACUCUUCCCAGAAGCAGACCCUAAGAUAAGUAUUUAAGUGCAAAUAAUGUAUCUGGGAGGCAAUUUGGGGAAUCUCUGCAGGGGAACCGGGAAGUGAAACAGGGACGGGAAGGUGGCCAAUGAGGGAAGCAUUAUCAAGGUGGCUACCUUGGUGGGAACCCAGAGUGCAACCCCGCUAGGGGACUCUCAGAGACAGUGUAGAGCAUGCCUCAGUCACCCCAACAAAGGGGUGAGGGAGCUGGGGUGUCUAUCCACCAAAUCUCUGUCCUUUGUUGGUUGAGGGCUGUUUCGGGGGGCACCAACUCGGGGCACUUCUGGCUCGGCCGCCUGCAGGCCCAAGUUGCUCCUGAGGCCAGAACAACACCAUUCACAGUAAGCAGGCUUUUGUGGGUAGAGGCGAUUCUCAGCGGGGAUAUGGGCGGAGUCUGCUCUAGGGGCUGACCACUAAUUGAUUUUACAUUCACAGGAAAAGGCAGACACAGGCCCAGGAGACAUGUCUCCCCGUCCCUGGGUGAGGAUGUGGAGGGCGUAGGCAGUGUAAUAGUGGGGGCUUUUCCUGUCCAGGCUCCCAUCUCCUCAUGCUGAGAAAUCACGUUGCCACACUGUUGGUAGAGUCAGCUAGUAUGCGCAAACAGCCAUGUCUUCCUCUUUGACACUCAGCUAGACUACAUUUCCCAGCCUCCCUUGCAGUUAGGAGGCAUCAUAUGAUUGAUUCCAGCCAAUGAAAUAUGAGCAGAAGGGGCGUUUGCCUCUACCAGGCUUGGAUCAGAAGAAACCUCCCACGCACUACCCUUUUUCUCUCCUUCUCUUUCUAAGGUGACCUUGGAGGCCUCAUUGCAAGUGGUGCAACAUCUUCAGUGAUGCUUUGGAGGAAAACGACGUCAUGCAAAUUACUACACAAAUCACUAUUGUUAGUUGGGGUUGGCUCUAAAAAGGAAAAGGUUAAGGUGCCUUGAACACUUUGCCUGGUGAUCCAGGUGAAGGUAAGAGCAUGGACAAGGGCCCUGAAGCAGGAAGGAGGAACCCAAAGCAAACCAGCAUGACUGGAGGUAAUGAGCAAGGUAGAGUGGCGUGAGAGGAAGGAGCAUGAUCUUGAUGCAAGAUGCAUGGGUUUGUGGCAGGAAUUUGAUGGAUAGGGACUGGACACUGCCUUGGCACCCUCCCCCCUCUCCCUAGGGGCAGAGCAUCAAUUUAAGAAACCAGAUUGUAACCAGGAGGGGGUGAACCUAGAAACUCAGAAUUUGGGGGGGUGGGGGUGUGGCUUGGAUAGUCGUGGAGUUCAGUGGGCCCCAUGCCUGGAGUCCCCUGUCCCAGAGUCAGGGCCUCCUGCCCUUGUCUGCAGUGGGGGAGGGGGUUUCUGUCUUCCAGUCACAGCCCAGCCUUGCCUCAAGGGAUCAUUCCCAGGUCACCUGACCCAAAUUUGGUGAGUCGUGAAAUCAGAUAGCCCAGACCCUCUCUUGGGCUGGGUUCCUCUCAUCCUAGACAUAUGACUCUCCAGUAUCAGUACUAUAGACUCUUCUUGUGGGAUAGCCUGGGAACUCACCAUACUGUUUUGUUAAACCUCCAAUAACUGACUUAAUAAUGAACUGUUGGCCAGAGCUGCUUGCCUGACCUGGGGGACUGCCUUUUGCCUGCCCCACCCCCUCCCCCACAG